rfam:Myotis brandtii contig309544, whole genome shotgun sequence.
GGCAGUUCUCAGGUGACGCACCCUGGAAUUGGGCUCCCUCCUCUCUGGUUCCAGGUGUGUCACCCAAGAACCACA